CUCCUAGUACGAGAGGACCGGAGUGGACGCAUCACUGGUGUUCGGGUUGUCAUGCCAAUGGCACUGCCCGGUAGCUAAAUGCGGAAGAGAUAAGUGCUGAAAGCAUCUAAGCACGAAACUUGCCCCGAGAUGAGUUCUCCCUGACCCUUUAAGGGUCCUGAAGGAACGUUGAAGACGACGACGUUGAUAGGCCGGGUGUGUAAGCGCAGCGAUGCGUUGAGCUAACCGGUACUAAUGAACCGUGAGGCUUAACCUUACAACGCCGAAGGUGUUUUG
rnacentral:rRNA from 1 species